GUAGCAAACUAAGAAUACUAGGCAUUGCUUUCCGUUAACCAGUGAGACAGUGGGGGAUAAGCUCCAUUGUCGAGAGGGAAACAGCCCAGAUCACCAGCUAAGGCCCCAAAAUGACCGCUAAGUGGUAAAGGAGGUGAGAAUGCUGAAACAACCAGGAGGUUUGCUUAGAAGCAGCCACCCUUUAAAGAGUGCGUAAUAGCUCACUGGUGGAGCGUUCUUGCGCCGAAAAUGAACGGGACUAAGCGGUCUGCCGAAGCUGUGGGUAACAUCAAUUUGAUGUUACGGUAGGGGAGCGUUCCGCUCUAGGGUGAAGCUCCAACGUAAGUUGGUGUGGACAAAGCGGAAGUGAGAAUGUCGGCUUGAGUAACGAAAACAUUGGUGAGAAUCCAAUGCCCCGAAAACCUAAGGCUUCCUCCACUAGGCUCGUCCAUGGGGGGUUAGUCGGGACCUAAGGCCAGGCCGAAAGGCGUAGUCGAUGGAAAACAGGUUAAUAUUCCUGUACUUCUUUUUAAGUGGUACCGAGGGACGAAGGAGGGAACGGUUGGUCAAUAUUGGAUGUUGACGGAAAUGUUCAAGGUGAUGAGAGAUAGAAUAAAAACUAUUCUUGAGCUGAGACAUGAUACGAUUUUAUUCCCUGUAAGAGAGCUUGCUCAAUUCAAAGUAAAAUUCAAUUAGUUGUCAAACUUCCUAGAAAAGCUCGAACUUCCAAUACUUAAAAAUAACCCGUACCCGAAACCGACACAGGUAGGUAGGUAGAGUAUACCAAGGGGCGCGAGAUAACUCUCUCUAAG
rnacentral:rRNA from 1 species